UGAAAGACUAAGAGCUAUACUGGGUGAAUGGAGUGCUCGAGCAGCAAAGCUCGAAUGUGCAUUGAAGGCCGAGCGGCUAUUAAACAAGGAAUUACAGAAGAAGAUAUCAAAGCUAAGAAACCAUUCGACAAAAUCAUCCGAACAGCGUGGAGAUUGAUCUCCUGUCGGGUUUGAAUCUUGUACAUGUUUAUAGCUUCUCUUUCUUUCUUUGGGUUGAAAAAGGCUAGUGCACCUUACUGGUUGUGGAUUGAAUUCUCUAUUGUAUAAAGCACUCGAUGUCAGUGUUGAUGUUGUACUAGGGACGGGCCUGUGGAACAACGUCUAGGAUUCAAGCGUUGAGACUCUGAUCCAGACUUCUAUACAAAGCCAAAAAUGAUAAAACAAAACAAAAGAAAAAGAAUAUGUGAAAUGCGUUACUACUGCAGUUGAUUUGA